rnacentral:rRNA from 1 species
GACAUCGAUGAUGAACGCAGCGAAAUGCGAUAAGUAAUGUGAAUUGCAGAAUUCCGUGAAUCAUCGAAUCUUUGAACGCACAUUGCGCCCUCUGGUAUUCCGGGGGGCAUGCCUGUCCGAGCGUCAUUUGCAACCCUCAAGCGCGGCUUGUGUGUUGGGCCCUCGUCCCCCCGUGGACGUGCCCGAAAUGCAGUGGCGGCGUCGUGCUCCGGUGCCCGAGCGUAUGGGGCUUUGUCACCCGCUCUUGGAGGCCCGGCCGGCCCCGGCCCAUCGACCAUCGAGGACUCGUUCCUCAACCAGGUUGACCUCGGAUCAGGUAGGGAUACCCGCUGAACUUAAGCAUAUCAAUAAGCGGAGGAA